UACGUAGGGGGCAAGCGUUGUUCGGAAUUACUGGGCAUAAAGGGUGCGUAGGUGGUCUAUUAAGUCAGGGGUGAAAUCCCGCGGCCCAACCGUGGAACUGCCUUUGAUACUGGUGGACUUGAGUGCGUGAGGGGUAGGGGGAACGAGCAGUGUAGCGGUGAAAUGCGUAGAUAUUGCUCGGAAGGCCAGAGCCGAAGGGGCCCUACUGGUACGUAACUGACACUG
rnacentral:rRNA from 1 species